CUCCAGGUUGAAACGAUGGCGGUCAGAACCGCCUGAGGUAAAAACGGGUGGCACUGGGGAAGCGGAGGCGUAGCUCCCGAGAGCCUCACACUUGUGCUCAGUGCCGCCUCACCCCUGGUGGAUCCGCGAUGGCCGCGGAUUCCCCUGGAUUGCCGGCGCUGGGCAGGAGCGCCACUUCUAAUCUCUCCCGAGACUGGACGCCCGGCGCCUUCCACGCGCGUUGUGUCUUUCCGGGCGGUCCCUCGAAGCUGGCUACCCCGCGGGCUGUUGACUGCAGUGGGAUCUGGUCACUCAGAUGCGGAUAGAGGGGUACGGGAGCCGGAGAGGUGGAACAGGUCCUUCCGGGUGCGGAGAGCUGGGCCGUCCAGCCGCCUCUUUGUUCCCGCGUGGGUCCCGCGCGGAAUCCCCACCACCGGGGCCGACUGUCGUGGUCCCUGGAGUCAGCACCCUGCCCUCCCCGCCGUGGUGGCGGGUGGCUGGGGGGUCCCCGGCCCGGCGAGCCCGGCGGAGCGACCCUGCGCUUCUGCCCUGGCGAGCUUCCGGACUCAGGCCAUUUAAAUUUUUUUCCCCAGCAGAAUGAAGUUACUCUUUGCCAAAGUCACGGUUUUUAAAUGUGUGAGCCUGAAAACAUAUCAUGCAGUCGUUUUAAAAAGUUUUUUUUUAAGUUGAUCUCGUGAAAGUAGGGAGUAAAAGAGUGGUUAUUCUUGUACAGAGGAGAGUUAGUGGGGAGGAAGAUGGGGAGAGGUUGGUCAACAGACACAAAGUUAUAGUUAGAAGGAAUAAGUUUUGGUAUUCUCUUGCACGUUUGGAUGACUAUACUCAACGAUAAUGUUAACUUCAAAAUAGCUAGAAGAGAGGAUUUUGAAUAUUCUCACCACAAAGAAAUGACAAGUGUUUUGGUGAUGGAUGUGCUAAUUACCCUGAUUAGAUGGUUGCACAAUGUGUAUAUGUAUGGAACCAUCACACUGUACCCCAGAAAUACAUGCAAUUAUGUGAGAACGCAUGUUAUGGGGAAAAUUGACCACACUACCCAGCUAAAUGAAAGGGAUAGGCUAUGGAGUACUAAAAAAAAAAAAGCAUUUUCAGUGCUCAUAAGUGCCAGCCAGUGUGCUAAAUCUGUGAUUCGUAGAUCAACACAGUCCCUACCCUCAAAGAGAGGUUCCAGUGGGCCAAAAUGUUAACACUGAUUAUAGAAGGCAAAAGUAUGACUUUUAUUUGCUUCUUUAGGCUUUAUUCGUAAAGUUCAUUUUCACAGUCUUGUUUUGUUCGUUUGUUUUGAGACGGAGUCUCGCUCUCCCCAGCUGGAGUGCAGUGGCGCGAUCUCGGCUCACUGAUACCUCUGCCUCCCCGGUUCAAGCGAUUCUCCUGCCUCAGCCUCCCAAGUAGCUGGGACUACAGGCACCUGACACCACCCUGGCUAUUUUUUGUAUUUUUAGUAGAGAUGAGGUUUCACCAUCCUAGCCAACGUGGCGAAACCCUGUCUCUACAAAAAGUACAAAAAAUAGCUGGGUGUGGUGGUGCACACCUGAAGUUCCAGCUUCUCAGGAAGCUGAAGCAUGAGAAUCGCUUGAACCCAAAGGCAGAGGUUGCAGUGAGCCAAGGUUGUGCCACUGCACUCCAACCUGGGGGACAGAGAGAGACCCCAUCUCAAAAUAAAUAAAUAAAUACAUACAUACAUACAUACAUACGUGCAUGCAUUUGCCAAAAUGUUAAACCGUGCUAUUCUUCCAAUAUUUUUUUGCUUGGGACAGUAUAGUAAUUUUGCAUUAAAAAGUGUUAGAUAUGUUAAUAUGUAAUGGGUAUUUUUUUUAAUGAACUUCAUAUAUAUCUUUUACAUUUCUCAGUUUCAAUUUCUACUAUGGUAAAUACUCAUAGGUAUAAACCCACAUAAACUAAAGAUCUGUAGUUCUUAAUAAUUUCUAAGAAUAAAGGGAUUCCAAAAAGUUUGAGAACCGACAUUAAAAAGUGCUUUAAAGCUUAAAAAACAUAAACCCUUCACUUACGUUCAAUUCUAUAAACAUUCUUUGCAGCUAAAUGCAAGAUGGUAUGGCAUCCAGACUCUGCUCAUAAGUAUCUGCAGUGAUCCAUACCUUGAUUGUACAUCUACUCUGCAUCCUGAGGACCUGAACAUGCUAACUGGUGGCUGCAGAUUUGUCUUCUAAGGAGCAAGUGUGGUCUGUGGACAGGCAGCUUCAGCCUCACCUGGGAUUUUGUUUGCACUAGAAAGUGCCAAGCCCUACCCUAGACCUAUUAAAGCAGAACUGGCGUUUAACAAGACACCCCAGGUAAUUUGUGUGCACCUUAGAGUCUGAGAUGCACUAGUGUAGUGAUUCGCAGGGGGACAAUUUUGACCUCCAGGGGACAAUAUCUGGAGACAUUUUUGGGUGUCACAACGUGCUGGGGAGAGGGUGCUACUGGCAUCUAAUGGGCUGAGGCCAAGGGUGCUGCUAAACAUCUGGCAAUACCGGGCCAACCUCCCCCCUCCUCCUGCCCACAGUAAAGAAUUACCCCGCCUGGAUUGUCAGUAGUGCAGAGGUAGAGGAAACCCUACACCUGUGAAACUCAUCUGACCUUUACUAUGAAUUCCUGGAUCUCCUGGUGCAUAUCAUUUCUGUUGCCCUGGCUGACAUUUCCACCUUUUCUCUUUUCUAGAUUUUAUUACAAGAACUCAAUCUGUUGGUCUCUAGGAAUCACCUAUUGCCUUGCUAUGUUUUGUUGAACCUGUUUUUGAAUCUGCUUUCUACAUUGGGGAAAUAGGUAUACGUUUGUAAACCUUAAAAGCUCUGUAUGCUAUAAGGAAAUCACCAGACACGUGGAUAAGCUUUGCAGAGGUGAAGGGCUGUCUCCACCAGAGAGACCCAGAAGGAGUCAGGGUAAGCCUGACUCAUCAUGAGAUCAGGUAUCCCCAAUCCACAGCGGACUUCCACAGUUCACCUUCCUAGGUAACCGCUCUGCCUUCCCAGGUAAAGUAGGAAUAAUAUCAGAACUUACAGCAUAUUUUGAGGUCAAAUUGUAGAAUUUGGUGAUUUCAUUUUUAUUAUUACUCAACCUUUUAUUUACAACCAAAUUAAUAAGGCUACUUACACAUAACAAUGUGUGGACAUACACAUUAAGAGAAUCAUUUGCUGCCUAGCACUCCUACCUAGGUACUUUAAGAACAUCAUUGAGUGGAUACUCCCUCUGCUGGGUAAAAUACUUUGCCACAAUAUCAGCUGAAAUGAUACCUCUUCCAGACUGUAAUGGCAGAAGUAGUUAUCCCCUCUUUCGUGCUGUCAUCACACUUGAUGCAUGCCUACUUUAUAAUACUUAUGCCAUUGUCUCUGUUAUUGGGUUUCUGUCUUCUACUGUGAAAGGGUGAGCCCAUAAAAAACAGGGAAUGUGUCUUUCAAAAUGUUGUAUCCUGCUCAUUCUGAUGUGAAGCCAUUGUCCUCCUUCAAUAAAAUAAAACAGCAUUUCUGAGGUCUUAGCAUCAGGAAAAUCUCCAGGUGGGUAAGGUUAAAGAAAAAAUUAUUCAUGACACUUGUUCAGUGUGGUGCAAUAGUCUCUUCUCACACUGCUAUAAAUACCCAAGACUGGGUAAUUUUUUUAUUGAUUUAUUUUUUAAUUAAUUUUUUUUUUUUUUUUGAGACGGAGUCUGGCUCUGUUGCCCAGGCUGGAGUGCAGUGGCGCAAUCUCGGCUCACUGCAAGCUUCGCCUCCCAGGUUCACGCCAUUCUCCUGCCUCAGCCUCCCAAGUAGCUGGGACUACAGGCGCCUGCCAUCACGCUCGGCUAAUUCUUUUUUGUAUUUUUUAGUAGAGACGGGGUUUCACCAUGUUAGCCAGGAUGGUCUCGAUCUCCUGACCUCGUGAUCCACCCGCCUCAGCCUCCCAAAGUGCUGGGAUUACAGGUGUGAGCCACCGCGCCCGGCCUAUUUUUCAUUUUUUUGAGAUGGAGUCUCACUCUUGUUGCCCAGGCUGGAGUACACUGGCGCUAUCUCGGCUCACUGCAACCUCCGCCUUCCGGGUUCAAGUGAUUCUCCUGCCUCAGCCUCCCUAGUAACUGGGAUUACAGGCGCCCGCCACCACAUCUGGCUAAUUUUGUAUUUUUUGUAGAGACAGGGUUUCACUAUUUUGACCAGGCUGGUCUCGAACUCCUGACCUCAGGUGAUCCACCCGCCUCGGCCCCCCAAAGUGCUGGGAUUACAGGUGUGAGCCACCACACCCGGCCAAGACUGAGUAAUUUAUAAAGGAAAGAGUUUUAAUUGACUCACAGUUCCACAUGGCUGCGGAGGCCUGAGGAAACUUACGACCAUGGCAGAAAGGGAAGCAAACACGUCCUUCACAAGGUGUCAGGAGAGAGAAGUGCCGAGUGAAGGGGGAAGAGCCCCUUGUAAAACCAUCAGAUCUCAUGAGAACUCACUAUCAUGGGAACAGCAUGGUUGUUCCCAUGCUCCAGUCACCUCCCACCAGGUCUCUCCCUAGACACCUCGGGAUUACACUUCAAGAUGAGAUUUGGGUGAGGACACAGCCAAACCAUAUCAGAUGGUAAAGCAGACUUUAUUCCAGGGGGCCAUGGUGAUAGGUAGAGGGGCACUGCAGGGCUUUGCAGUGGGGAGAAAUUGAACUCAGCACCAACUCUACCAAGGACAGGUGGGGAUUUAUAAUCAAGGAGCAGGGUGGAAAGCAGCGCAUGGAAAAUUACUAAGAGGAAGCCCCAAGGAUAAGGGGGUUUCUGUCUAAACAGACCUGAUAGGAUUCCUGCUGAAGGCAGGCCAGGGAGAUCAGAUAACAAGGGUGGUCAACCAAGAGUAGAGGCUUUUCACUAGACCCACUUAGCAGGAUUCUUGCUCACACUGGGCUCUGCAAGGACAGAGAGAAAAGUCCAAGAUUGGGCCUAGUCAAGCAGAGGACUCAGAGAAGCCUGACUGGAGUUUUGGUCAAAGGAGAGAGUCUUUUUCAGGCAGGAGGGAAGAUGGUUGGCCAAGCAUCCCGAACAACCACCUUCCCCUUGCUUUCACCUGCCUUUAGUACAGUGCUCCUUCUGAAUAGCUGAGAUAGACUGAAAUUCUUCCUAAAAAUUACUAAGUAGUGGAGAAGGCCGAAAACAACAAACAAUCACAAACUUCCAAAGUAUCGAGCUGUGUACAAACGGUAUCUCCUGUCCCCCCAGCAUAGAGGUGAUAUCCUGUUCCACUUUGUGGCUGAGAAAUCCAUCUCCGAAUCUCCAGAGAUUCUCGGCAGCAGCCUUCUGGGAAAUCAGUAGAUAAUCACUAGGGUUGGUGGUCAAUCCUUGGAUAAAAUAGGCUUCAGAUGCACUUUGCACUGCUUCAAAUCCACUUUCAACAUAUAAUACAUAUAAACUAAUACUAGAAAACAGGGCUGGGCACAGUGGCUAACACCUGUAAUCCCACAAUUUUGGAGGCUGAGGUAGGAGGAUCCCUUGAGGCCAGGAGUUUGAGACCAGCCUGGGAAACCAUAGGAAGGCCUCACCUCUACAGAUAAAAAAUUUCAAAAACUGGCCAGGCAUGGUUGUGUGCACCUGUAGUCUCAGCUACUUGGGUGGCUGAGGCAGGAGGAUUGCUUGAGCCCAGGAAUUCAAAGCUGCAGUGAGCCAUAAUCACACCACUGCACUCCAACCUGGGCAUAGAGUGAGACCCCCUUCUCUAAGAAAAAGAUAAAAAAGAAAGAAAGUGGGUCUGGAAUCUUUGAAAAGAGUAGUUAAAUCUUUUCAAUGAUCCAGUAGUUUUCACUUUGGAUGUUUACUCAGCAGGGAGUAGUUUGGAAAUUCAUAGGGUAUUUUUGGUUGUCGACAAUGAAUUGGGAGAUAUCACAUGAGGUCCAAUAGUGGCAGACAAUGCUGCACAAAAACCAGAUUGUUCUCGAUUCUAACCACCUUUGACUAUCUUGCCACAUGCUUAUUAUGUGGGUGAAAAGCCUGUUUGUAUUCUUUCAGGUCUGGAGCCUAUUCCAUUUUACAUGUUGCUCUGGUCUGAAUGCUUGUGUCCCUCAGAAUGCAUAUGUUGAAAGGGAACCCACAGUACAGUGGUGCUGGUAGGUGGGUCAUCUGGAAGGUGAUUAGGUCAUGAGGACAGAGCUCUCAUGAACAGGAUCAGUGCCCUUAUAAAAGAGGCCUGAGGGCACUUGUUCUGCGCUCCCACCAUGUGAAGGCACAGCUGGAAACAGAGCCAGCCCUCACCAGACACCGACUUUGCUGGUGCCUUGAUCUUGGACUUCCCAGCCUCCAGAACUGUGGGAUAUAUACAUAUAUAUAUUUAGACAGGGUCUCGCUCCGUCACCUAGGCUGGAAUGCAGGGGCAUGAUCAUGGUUCACUGCAGCCCGACCUGCUGGGCUCAAGCAAUCCUCAUGCCUCAGCCUCCCAAGUAGCUGGGACUACAGGGUGCAUGCUCCCACACCUAGCUAAUUAUCUUAUUUGUUGUAGAGACAGGGUCUCACUAUUUUGCCCACGCUGGUCUCAAACUCCUGAGCUUAGUGAUCCUCCUGCUGAGGCCCCCCAGAGUGCUGGGAUUAAAGGCUGGGACUACAGGCGUGAGUCACCGUGCCCAGCUUUGCCCUCCUUUAAAAUGGGAGCUGUGUUAUUUAUUAUAGUAUUUCCAGCUGCAUAUUUGGGUGAAAAGGAUUUCAGUGCAGUGGAACAAUUACUGCAAAGUAACAAAAUGUAACAGAACAUUUGAGACACUUUAAAAGAAUUAGAACUUCAUUAAACUUCAUCACUCAGAUUCUUAAAAAUAUUUCAUAUUAUUGCCAUCUGUUUCAAUUUGGGUCUCUCCAAAAGCAGACUCUGAGACAAAAGUUUCAGAUACAAGUAGGAGAUUCUCCUGGGGGUUAUAAGCCCCUGGGCACUUUCAGCCUGCUCUAUGCAUGGGCCAAGCACACCCCUGUAUCCAGAGAAAGCCCUCAGGCAGAGAGACAUGGGUGCUUAUAUGAGAAUUGCCACUGAAGUGCUAGGUACUACUUCCAGGGUGGGCAAAGAGAAUGCAGUUGGGACACCAGUAGCAUCUCCUACAGGUGAAAAGAAGGCAGUAAGCCUGAAUUUCCUAAUCUCCCUAUUCUCCUACCUCUAGUCCCAGGCAAGACAUUUUUGUUACCAUGUAAACAUCAGAGUGUAUUUACACAAACCUGGAGGGUGUAGCCUACCACACACCUAGGCUAUAUGAUAUAACCCAUUGCUUCCAGGCCAUAAACCUGUACAACAUGGGCCUGUACUGAAUGCUGUAGGCAAUUGUAACACAAUGGUAAGUAUGUGUGUAUCUAAACACAGAAAAGGUGCAGUAAAAAUAUGAUAUAAAAGAUUAAAAAUGGUCCACCUGCAGAGGGCAGGUGCCUUGCUAUGUUUUGUUGAAUCUGUUUUUGAAUCUGCUUUCUACAUUGGGGAAAUAGCCCAUCACCGUCCAUCACCAUGGAUGGAGCUUGCAGGACUGGAAGUUGCUCUGGGUGAGUAGGCGAGUGAUUGGUGAGUGAAUGUGAAGGCUUAGGAUGUUACUGUGCAGAAGUGUAGACUUUACAAACACUGGACACUUAGCCUGGCUGCCCUCCCCCUCCGCCACGCUCUGUGGUUUGCUGACACGCCUGUCACCGGGUGUGUGACCGGUUGCACCUUUCCCAGGUUGUGGGUGCAGCCUCAGCUUUUACAGAGGCUCCUUCUAGUGGAAAGAAGGAAAUGAGGCUGCCUAAUCUCCUUAUCCUCUUACCCCUGGACCCCACCCUUCUCCUUCCCCUCUACCCCUCCCCCUAGCAUGGCCAAGGGAUUGCCAAAAGUGUUGUAAGACAAAUUAUGUUCCAGGAGAGUCUCAGAAAGUCUGCUGGCAGAGUCUGCCCUAUAUUGCUACAAUGAUAUCAUCUAUUUGUAGAAGCUGGGGUUGGUUAAGAUGUUAAAGUGAGAUCAUUGCGCUGAUCUGCCAAAUGUUUAUAUCCUUCUGCCUGCUAGGGAUGGAGUAUUUGUUUAGAAGGGAAUUUAUUCAGUAAUGAGUACCCCCACCAGUGUCCAAAAAGACACAACAUAAUAACCUCUUGGGUUUUCUGAGCCAGCAGGUUUAGGAGGGUUUGCCCUGUGCAAACACAACAGGGAGACAGAGUGAGACUCAGGUGGACCCUGCACGAGGAAACUUGACUCCAAGGAGGGAGGAAUGUGCCCAGGAAUGGUGGAAUCCUGACACUAAUUUUAAAUAGUUCUGAUGUCCACGUGUCCAUCUGGGUGGGUUUCCUUUAAUAAACCACUCCCUUUGUGCGCCAUCCAUUCUUCCAACUAAAACCUGCCCACUGUUGGGUGCAGCCCUGAUCCCUGGUACAGAGGAUCUUCAGUUUUAGUCCCUUGCAGCUGCUCUGUGCAAUGGCCUUAACCAAAUCUGCUCCAUCAGCCACAAAACCAAAACAUCUGCUCAAUAUCCUCUUGAUUCCUUUAUUCAUCUAUUUGAAGUGAAUUUUGCAAACACCUUUCAGCCUUUUCUACUCCAGACUAAAUAUUUCUGUAACUUUCCAACCCUUUGGUCAUUCUAAUGUUUUUGAAUCCUCCCCAAUUUUCCAUAUUAUCUUUACAUCAUGGAGUUUAAAUGGUAUGUGAGACUCUACCCCUAAAAUAGAGGUAUAGCAUUCAUUGAUCAUGAACUUUUUGUGAUGACAACUUACAGGGUCUGGCCCCUGACUGCAGACUUCUAAUGGAAAGGAAAAGAGACUCUAACACAAUCUGCUAAUUAACCCACAGGUUGGAUUGAGAAGGAAAAAAAUCCACCUGAAUUCUUAAGAUAAAAUGUAUCAUUUAAAUAAUUAUUCUGGGUCUCUGCUUCUCCUGUUUGACAAGACAGCCGCAUCUUCUUGAGCAGUGCCAGCUGUGUCCCUGAGACAACAUGGUGAAGGUGAAGGCCAGAAAAAACAGAUUUGGCCAUAUUGGGGGCCUGGUCACCAGGGAUGCCAACUCUGGCAAAGUGGAUAUUGUCACUAUCAAUGACCUCAACUACAUGGUCUCCAUGUUCCAGUAUGAUUCCGCUCAUGGCAAGUUCCACGGCACCAUCAAGGCUGAGAACGGGAAGCCUGCCAUCAAUGACAAUCCCAUCACCAUCUCGCAGGAGUGAGAUCCCACCCAAAUCAAGUGGGGUCAUGCCAGCACUGAUUAUAUUGUGGCGGCCACCAGCAUCUUUGCCAGCAUGGAGAAGGCUGGGGAUCACCUAGAUGGGGGAGCCAAAAGGGUCAUCAUCACUGCCCCCUCUGCUGAUGGCCCCAUGUGUGUGAUGAGUGAAAGCUAUGAGAAGUACUGCCUGCAGUAAGAGCUUGCUACUAUUAAUAUCAUCAUUUUAGUAAUCAUACUCUGAAUCUUGGCAAAAAAGAAAAGACGGUUCUGAAAAUCAAGUCUGUCUGUUUCUGCCAGAAUACUCAUGAGACAGUUUGUUCCUAAAGCAGCAAUUAGGAGUAAAGAACCAGAACAGUGUGAUCAUCCAAAAAGUCAGCUUCUGGCUUAGCUCCAUCAGGAUCCCAAUUCUCUACGGAGUCGAGGUACUCUCCAUGGCGUUCCCAGGGGGUGAUAAAACAGAGGGGAAGAAGUCAUUCUCCCACCUUCUUCCUUCCGCAUACACCUAUGGCCUGAUCAUCACUGCAGCACCCCUCACUGCCCUGAGGUCCAAAUGGGGGUGCAGCACCCCUCACUGCCCUGAGGUCCAAAUGGGAGCUGGCGCACUCAGAUGCCCACAGGCGCCAUCGAGGAGGGAAGCAGGCUGGUGCAAACGAUCAACACAUGAACUUCGCUUUCAUGCUCGUCACCUAGUGAUAGUCUCCACCUACACAACUAAAGGUGUGCCGUCUCCCAGAUUCUAGAAACACAGCCUCCCUUGACUUUUUUUGAGACAGAGUCUCACUCUGUCACCCAGGCUGGUGUGCAGUGGCACGAUCUCAGCUCACUGCAACCUCUGCCCCCUGGGUUCAAGCAAUUGUCCUGCCUCACCCUCCCUAGUAGCUGGGAUUACAGGCAUGCGCUACUAUGCCUGGCUAAUUUUUGUAUUUUGGGUAGAGACGGGGUUUCACCAUGUUAGUCAGGCUGGUCUAAAACUCCUGACCUCAAGUGAUCCGCCCACCUCAGCCUCCCAAUGUGCUGGGAUUACAGGCAUGAGCCACUGUGCCCGGCCCAGGCUCACUUGAUUUACCUUGCAUUUUUCCACUUUUGACGGUGACACAGAUACAGAGAACAGGUUUGUUCAACACUUUAACAAUACAGACAUGGUCAUGACAGUCCCUAAGUGUUAGGAGCAACGGGGAAGAAUGCAGGCUGUGCUAAACUGACGGGCACAUAACUGCCCCUGGAGGUGAGCCACACCAGAGCCUUAUGCUGGAACACAGGGAAUGGAAGGCUGUAGAAAGGCAGCCCAGAGUGUGGACUGUGCUGAAGAACCUCCCAAUUCUUCAGUGCUGGCUCCUGUGGAUACAUACAUAGGGCAAUCAAAACAAUGCCAUGGGAAGGCCUGCAGCAGACGGAUAGGCACACAUCCACUCUGUAAGCAACAAUUCUUUUCUUUUUCUUUUCCUUUUUUUUUUUUUUUUUGUGACAGAGGCUCACUCUGUUGCCAGGCUGGAGUGGUGCAGUGGUGUAAUCUCGUCUCACUGCAGCCUCCCACUCCCAGAUUCAAGUAAUUCUCCUAUCUCAGCCUCCUGAGUAGCUGGGACUACAGGCAUGUGCCACCACGCCCAGCUAAUUUUUGUAUUUUUAGUAGAGACGGGGUUUCACCAUGUUGGCCAGGAUGGUCUUGAUCUUUUGACCUUGUGAUCUGCCUGGCUCGGUCUCCAGAAGUGCUGGGAUUACAGGCAUGAGCCACCGCGCCCAGCCAGCAACAAUUCUUUCUAACUUAACUCUGUGCAGAGUGUGCAGAGAUUCUUUUUUUUUUUUUUUUUUUUUUUUGAGAUGGAGUUUGGCUCUUGUCCAGGCUGGAGUGCAAUGGCGUGAUCUCAGCUCACUGCAACCUCUGCCUCCCGGGUUCAAGUGUUUCUCCUGCCUCAGCCUUCCGAGUAGCUGGUAUUACAGGCGUGCGCCACCACGCCCACCUAAUUUUUGUAAUUUUAGUAGAGACAGGGUUCCACCAUGUUGGUCAGGCUGAUCUCGAACUCCUGACCUCAGGCAAUCCACCCGCCUCAGCUUCUCAAAGUGCUGGGAUUACAGGCGUGAGCCACGGCACCCAGCUGAGAUUCUUAAAAUGGUGUUCAAACUUUAGGGUGUGCAAGAACCUUCGGAGACACUUGUUUAAAGUGCAGUCCUGGGGCUCAUUACCUGAGAUUCUGAAGCGGAGGCCCAGGAGUCUACUUUAAAAAAAUUUUUCUUUUUUUUUUUUUUUUUUUUGAGAUGGAGUUUUGCUCUUGUUGCCCAGGCUGGAGUGCAAUGGCGCGAUCUUGGCUCACCACAACCUUUGCCUCCUGGGUUCAAGUGAUUCUCCUGCCUCAGCCUCCCGACUAGCUGGGAUUACAGGCAUGCGCCACCAUGCUCGGCUAAUUUUGUAUUUUUAGUAGAGACAGGGUUUCUCCAUGUUGGUCAGGCUGGUCUUGAACUCCCGACCUCAUGUGAUCCACCCACCUCAGCCUCACAAAGUGCUAGGAUUAGAGGCAUGAGCCACCACACCCGGCUAAAAAAAUUUUUUUAAUAGGUAAUAGGCUUUACUUUUAAAGCAGUUUUAGAUUCACAGAAAAAUUGAAGAGACAGUUUGAAGAUUUUUCCAUAAACCCCAUACUAAGUUUCCCCUUUUAUUAACAUCUUACAUUAGUAUGGUAUAUUUGUGACAAUUAAGGAAUCAGUAUUGAUCUAUUAUUAUUAUUAUUAUUAUUAUUUUUAGAAAGAAUGUUGCUCUGUGGCCCAGGCUGGUGUGAGGUGGCGUGAUCUUGGCUCACUGCAACCUCCGCCUCCCGGGUUCAAGCGAUUCUCCUGCCUCAGCCUCCUGAGUAGCUGGGAUAACAGGUGUGUGCCACCAUGCCCGGCUAAUUUUUGUAUUUUUAGUACAGAGAGGGUUCCACCAUGUUGGUCAGGCUGGUCUCGAACUCUUGACCUCAUGAUCUGCCCACCUCGGCCUCCCAAAGUGCUGGGAUUACAGGCGCGAGCCACUGCACCUGGCCACCAGCCUCCUAUUCUAUUCAAAGUCACUCCUCUGCUCACUGAGAUAGAUGCAUAUCUGAGUUGCCUCCUUUGGAAAGGCUCAUCAGAAACUCUAAAGAACGUACCGUUUGUGUAUCACCCAUCUGUGACCUGGGAGCUCCGUCCCCUCUUUGAGUAUUCCUGCCUUCGCUUCAAGUUGUCCCGCCUUUACAGAUGGAACCAAUGUACUUCUUACAUAUAUCAGUUGAUGCCUCAUGUCUCCCUAAGUGUAUAAAACUAAGCUGUGCCUUGACCACCUUGGGCACAUGUCGUUAGGACUCCCUGAGGCUGUGUCACAGGGGCUUCCUCAACGUUGGCAAAAUAAACUUUCUAAGUUAACUGAGACCUGUCUCAGAUUUUAUGGGUUCACAUUAUGGUAACCACGAGGGGAUUCUGAGUGGAGGUGCCCCUGACCUUUGACAAAUCUAUUGGUUCUUGGUAGCAGCAUGAGCUAACUUUAUGGCUCAAGCCAAUAGGACAAUUUGCUGAGGUUUGAGAGCACCCCCUCCAGAGAAUCCCUGAUCUCUUAAAAUUUGGUCAAGAUCUAAAGUUUAUUUUGCUGUACAACUCCUCUUUUUUUUUUUUUUUAUUUUUAGUUUUACUUGCUUCUAAUAGGAAGGCAAGUUUUUCUGCUUCCAUGAUGAUAGAAGGCAGGUAACUCCUUUAUGUAGUUUGAGCUCGCUUCCAACAGGGAAGAUGAGUUUUUUUUUUUCCUGCUCCUAGGAUGGCAGAGAGUAGUCUACAGCCUGAGACCCAUCACUAGGUAAGAAACUGGUUUGAGGCCGGGCACGGUGGCUCAAGCCUGGAAUCCUAGCACUUUGGGAGGCCGACAUGGGCGGAUCACGAGGUCAGGAGUUCGAGACCAUCCUGGCCAACAUGGUGAAACCCUGUCUCUACUAAAAAUACAAAAAAAUUAGCAGGGCGUGGUGGU
rnacentral:lncRNA from 1 species